UAAGGAAUAUUGGUCAAUGGACGCAAGUCUGACGGAGCGACGCCGCGUGAGCGAAGAAGGUCUUCGGAUCGUAAAGCUCUGUUGUUAGGGAAGAAGAAGCGCCGUUCGAACAGGGCGGCGCGGUGACGGUACCUAACGAGAAAGCCCCGGCUAACUACGUGCCAGCAGCCGCGGUAAUACGUGGGGGGCGAGCGUUGUCCGGAAUUAUUGGGCGUAAAGCGCGCGUAGGCGGCUUUGCAAGUCGGGUGUGAAAUCCCCGGGCUUAACCUGGGAACUGCAUUCGAGACUGCAUUGCUAGAGUAUGGGAGAGGGAAGUGGAAUUUCCGGUGUAGCGGUGAAAUGCGUAGAUAUCGGAAGGAACAUCAGUGGCGAAAGCGACUUCCUGGACCAAUACUGACGCUCAUGUGCGAAAGCGUGGGGAGCAAACAGGAUUAGAUACCC
rnacentral:rRNA from 1 species